rnacentral:lncRNA from 1 species
UGAUCCCUAUCUUUUUCUUUUUCUUUUUCUUUUCACAUCCACACAACCAUGAGCAUUUUCUUUGCUUUUUUCUUUCUUUUCUUUUUCUUUGCUCUAUGGUUUCAAGGGUGAUUUCUUUUUCUUAUUACAUUUUCUUUGCUUUUUUCUUUCUUUUCUUUUUCUUUGCUCUAUGGUUUCAAGGGUGAUUUCUUUUUCUUAUUUCUUUUCAUAUUUUCACCCUUUCAUAAAAACUCACUUUUCCAAGUUUCUAAUCACAUCUUUUUACUUUACUCUCCGCAACUUUAG